rnacentral:rRNA from 1 species
AGAGUUUGAUCCUGGCUCAGGACGAACGCUGGCGGCGUGCCUAAUACAUGCAAGUCGAGCGAACCAAUAAGAAGCUUGCUUUUUGUUGGUUAGCGGCGGACGGGUGAGUAACACGUGGGUAACCUGCCUGUAAGACCGGGAUAACUCCGGGAAACCGGUGCUAAUACCGGAUAGAUUAUCUUUCCACCUGGAGAGAUAAGGAAAGAUGGCUUUUGCCAUCACUUACAGAUGGGCCCGCGGCGCAUUAGCUAGUUGGUGAGGUAACGGCUCACCAAGGCGACGAUGCGUAGCCGACCUGAGAGGGUGAUCGGCCACACUGGAACUGAGACACGGUCCAGACUCCUACGGGAGGCAGCAGUGGGGAAUAUUGCACAAUGGGGGAAACCCUGAUGCAGCCAUGCCGCGUGUGUGAAGAAGGCCUUCGGGUUGUAAAGCACUUUCAGCGAGGAGGAAAGGUUGGUAGCGAAUAACUGCCAGCUGUGACGCUACUCGCAGAAGAAGCACCGGCUAACUCCGUGCCAGCAGCCGCGGUAAUACGGAGGGUGCAAGCGUUAAUCGGAAUUACUGGGCGUAAAGCGCACGCAGGCGGUUGGAUAAGU